AUCAAAUGAAGGCACAUCUGAGUCAUCCUGAGCUUUUGUUCACCAGCUCGCAUAGGAUUGUAUCAGAACACAACUGCCUUAAAGAUUGGCUCAAUUUUCAGUAAUCCUGCAUUUGUUGAUGAGGAGAAGAAUCUCUGUUGGGGAAGAUGUUGCAUCCUGCAGCUACCGAACUGAAAUAAAUAAGGAACCAGACUUCUAUUCCAUGAGGGAACUAGAAUGGAAAAAAUAUUGAAAACAAUUUUACUCCUGAAGAGAAGUUUUUUUUCUAUCAGAGGCUCAAUAGACAUUUGGAUCCUGUUUUGGAACUUACCAUAGGAGGAAUUAUUACUGAGAGCUUCAGAGAACUAUUAAAUCACAAGAGCUUCAGGAAAAAAUAGAAAAGAAAAAGAAAAAAAGAAGUCUAAGAACCCAAACAAUCCAUCAAAAUGGAGAAGAGUACUGUAUUCUGUCCUUCUGCAAAAAGACCAUGUGCAUCUUUACUGAAAUUCAUACAAAAACACCAUCAGAGAUAUCCCUACUUCAUCUAACAGGUCUCUGGGACUCAGUCAUUUCUAAAGCAUUUUUGGAUUGUUUUCUUUAAUAUAGUGCAAAGGUUUUUUGUUUUGUUAGAAGAUAUAAGACAAAGCUUUCACUUGUGAGUUGCAUCUGGAUGAAACAAGUCAUGAUAUGUUUAAAUAAAUAAACAAAUGAAGACUUAUCUGCUGAUAUAAUGACAUUUGUCAAGGUGCACAUUUGACUUCUAACAGAUUUUUUGAACUUUUCUUAAAUUUCAACUACAGCACAUACUGCACACACUUCAUUUUUUUUCAACAUUAAACCUCAUAGAAGCUUGGGAAGAAGUAAUGCUAUGUAAUGCACAGGAGGUUGUAGUGCAUGACACAUUUGCUUUUUCAAUUUCUUAUGGUGGAUGUUUUUGUAAAACCUUUGAACUGCAACUUCAUUCUAAUAAGAGGAAAAAUAUCCUGUUUAAUCAAUAAGACAUGGUAGUGGAUAAGCGCAUAUUCAUGAUCAAAGCUGCUUGUUCUAAGUGAACAUCUUCUGGUACUGUUCAAAUAAUGCAAAGUCUGAACAGAAGAAUGAAAUUUUAUUAUAAAAUAGUACUUUUUGUUUAAAAAAAUUACAUAAUGUUAAUUAAAAGAACAGGUUAAUAAGAUUGAGUGUUGAAUCCUGGUGUUUUACACUCUAGUCAACUAGAUCAUGAGUUUUUUCAGUCAUUCUUUAUUGUGCAGACUAAAUGACUAUAUAAUGUUGAUUUUUCCCACCAUUUUACCAGAAAAACAGAAACAGCAGUAAAAAGAAAAUUAAAUAAUUGUCAAAAUAAUAAAUAGGACCAUUUACUUUCCAACCCUAAUAAUUAAAAAAAACCCAAAAAAGUAACUGGAUUACAUGACACAAGGAACACUGCCCAAACAAUAAAUGUUACUGCUGAUGAAAGAUUUGCUUCUGCAUUUCUUGCAAAUGUUUAAACGUUGCUAGAUAUUUUGGGUUUCUGCUGAAUAUGAACUACUAAAUGCUGAGGCAAGAAUGUACAGAAAUGCUGUCUUAUCUUUGUGCAUGAGGGUGCCGAAAUGUUUCCAUCUUCUUGGUGUGUAUUUGCGUGUCUACACCAGCUGUGUGACAAAUCCCUCUGGAACAAAACUAAAGAUGACUGUUGAGGACUAUCUCCAACUUUCUGUUUAAAUGUAGGAGUUGGAAAGAGAAUUAGAUGGGAGCAAAGAUAAAACUGGGAUCCCAGCAAUCCAUCUCUCUGGAAGUGUAUUUCGAAGCGGAAGCUGAAGGUACAAUAAGUACUACUAGAACAGGGAGAGUAUCACAGGAAUUUUUGAUGUUUAGAAAUUAUUGCUUAGAUAUAUUUUGUGAAUGGGGACAAAUAUACUUUCUCUAUGUGUGAAUAAUCAUAGGAACAGCAGGAACUUUAGGAACUGAAAAACAACAACAACAAAAAAAAGAGGGGUGUACCACCAAAUAGACUGUUAGAAACAUUUACUUAUCUGCUUUCAAGAGAAGAACAGCUCUCCUCUACCACAAACAUACAAAUGUCUUAGAGAGAUGUUCUUCCACUUGCUUAAGAUUAUUUUUCUGAGUUAUUAAAGGAUAUAACUCAGGCUUUAAUUAGGCAAGGUAGAGCAUUUUUCUCUGGGGAUACGUUCUUAGAAUGCACAUCUGACAAAGGUAACUGUCUUCUCAGUGUCCUCAAACAUAGGUAGCAGAAGAGACAUGUUUGGGACAUGGAUGUGAGUUAAUCAGUGAUGGAGAAGAAGUGAUCAUAAUGCUACAGACCUGAUUCUCUGGAAGCCUUGAAGUAAACUUGUCUCUCUUUAUCUUACCUUUCACAGUGUAUGUCUAAUUUGA